rnacentral:rRNA from 1 species
GACGAACGCUGGCGGCGUGCUUAACACAUGCAAGUCGAACGGAAAGGCCCUGCUUUUGUGGGGUGCUCGAGUGGCGAACGGGUGAGUAACACGUGAGUAACCUGCCCUUGACUUUGGGAGAACUUCAGGAAACUGGGGCUAAUACCGGAUAGGAGCUCCUGCUGCAUGGUGGGGGUUGGAAAGUUUCGGCGGUUGGGGAUGGACUCGCGGCUUAUCAGCUUGUUGGUGGGGUAGUGGCUUACCAAGGCUUUGACGGGUAGCCGGCCUGAGAGGGUGACCGGCGACAAUGGUACUGAGAUACGGCCCAGACUCCUACAGGAGGCAGCAGUGGGGAAUAUUGCACAAUGGGCGGAAGCCUGAUGCAGCGACGCCGCGUGCGGGAUGACGGCCUUCGGGUUGUGAACCGCUUUCGCCUGUGACGAAGCGUGAGUGACGGUAAUGGGUAAAGAAGCACCGGCUAACUACGUG